GCGGACUUAGCUCAAUGGUAGAGCAACUUGCAUGUACUGAGGGGUUGCAGCUUUGAGACCUACAGUCCACA